UGCGAUGGCGUGUCGUCAGCUCCGUGUCGUGAGAUGUUGGGUUAAGUCCCGUAACGAGCGCAACCCUUGUCCUUAGUUACCAGCACGUUAUGGUGGGCACUCUAAGGAGACUGCCGGUGACAAACCGGAGGAAGGUGGGGAUGACGUCAAGUCAUCAUGGCCCUUACGGCCUGGGCUACACACGUGCUACAAUGGUCGGUACAAAGGGUUGCCAAGCCGCGAGGUGGAGCUAAUCCCAUAAAACCGAUCGUAGUCCGGAUCGCAGUCUGCAACUCGACUGCGUGAAGUCGGAAUCGCUAGUAAUCGUGAAUCAGAAUGUCACGGUGAAUACGUUCCCGGGCCUU
rnacentral:rRNA from 1 species